rnacentral:rRNA from 1 species
UAGUCCACGCCGUAAACGAUGAGUGCUAGGUGUCAGAGGUUUUGACCCUUCUGGUGCCGAAGCUAACGCGUUAAGCACUCCGCCUGGGGAGUACGGCCGCAAGACUGAAACUCAAAGGAAUUGACGGGGGCCCACACAAGCAGUGGAGUAUGUGGUUUAAUUCGAGGCAACGCGAAGAACCUUACCAGGGCUUGACAUCGCCUGACAACCCAAGAGAUUGGGCGUCCCUUCGGGGCAGGUAGACAGGUGGUGCGAUGGUUGUCGUCAGCUCGUGUCGUGAGAUGUUGGGUUAAGUCCCGCAACGAGCGCAACCCUUGCCGUCAGUUGCCAUCAUUAAGUUGGGAACUCUGGCGGGACUGCCGGUGAUAAAUCGGAGGAAGGUGGGGAUGACGUCAAAUCAUCAUGCCCCUUAUGUCCUGGGCUACGACACGUACUACAAUGGCCGCUACAGCAGGAAGCGAAAAUCGCGAGGUGGAGCAAAUCCCCAAAAGCGGCCCAGUUCGGAUUGC